rnacentral:lncRNA from 1 species
AGCUACUGCUGUGUGGGGACAGCCGGCCGGAGAGCCAGGGCUCAGCGGAUCCAGUUGCAAUGCAUUUUCUAAGAACAUUCUGAUGUAAAAUCCCAUGGAUUUUACGGUGUGCUGCACAGACCCACGGCACAGUGAGUGGAAAGUCAUCCAAGCGUCUAGUCUUCCUGGGUCAGCAGUAUAGAAUGGGUUCAGGAGUGUGUGACUCUUGUACACUUCAAAAGCCUGGAGACAAGUACUUCCCAGCUGUGCGGCAGAAGUGGGCCCUGGGUACAGAGCCGGAAGAUUCCAGAUUCUCUGCAUCGCUGACCCAGAGCUGCCUCCAUAUCCCUGGCUGCUCAGAGAGGCCUGAAGGCCCCAAGAGCAGGUGCAGGGGAGCGGGUGGCUCUGGCUGUUAUAUAUUGAGGCAGGGCCGCUGGCUCCUGCUUCGACCUCUCUGCCUUUGAACUGGUUGUCCUGGGACAGAAUACUGUAUGCAGCCAGCACUAAAAUGACAGAGUUCUCAUGCACCAUUAGACAAUGUGCCCAGACCAUGGUGGAUUUUGGAUUCUUCUUGAAGGCGGGUUCCUAGGUUGUGGGGAGUUGGCUCUGCUGGUGGGGGAGGCCAGGGCUCCGUUCAUCGCCUUGCUGAGUUCCCUGUGACUGCAGGCUUCCCCCAGGCUGCAGGAAUAUAUCACCACGCCAUUGUCACAGGAGCUUGGGUAGCUGAAAAGUGGCCAAGGGACUCGAACAUCUGUAUUUUCUAUGGAAAGAUAAUAGAAUUCAUUUUCCAAUUGUUCAUCGAGGUAAAAAUGCUGAAUUCAAUCUCCAUGUAUGACACUUGCAGGGAAAUUUGAAACGGGGAUGUUCAGGACGGCUGUGGGGGUUUCCGUGCUAAUGCCAUUUUACAGACUCACUGGCCGUACCCCCGCCUUGGUACCCGAGGCAUUUCAGUGACAUGCGAACCUGGAAGAUGAAGAGCAGGUCUCUCCUACACUGAAAUGGGUUCCUGCUGGCACAGUGCAUCGCUCCUCUGCACAUAGGUUUAUAUUCAAGGUUGGAAAAGAGAGAGCUGCCCAGCCUCAGGAGUGUACCCACCAGGAAGUCCGCUGCUGCUGGUCGUCCAUGGGAAGAGAGCCCACAGGCAUCUGCCACAUGACCGUGGUGGCAUCACUGGCUGAGGAGGCACAGCCCUGCCAGAUGUUGUACAGUCUUUGCCUUUAAUUCUGGUCCUUCCUGCUGGCUCCCCGUCAUCAUGUGACUCUUUUUCCUCCUUCUUGGGUAACGGAUGAGAGCAAUGAUACAGGAGUUAAGAAGAAAUGACUUAGGCAGAUAGUGAGGGUAGGGAAGUCCUCGGUAAGGCUUUCCUUUUAAUGAAAAGCAGCCCCAAAUCAUUUUCCUUUCUAACAAAGAGCAGCCUGUAAAAUCAAGCUGUGGCAUAGAUGCGGGCAGUUGUGCCAAUCAUGUUCAAAAUGGCGGCUCCAUCUUCCCUUCUGUCAGGCAGCUGUACAGUGAGGAGCAGACAAGAUGGCGCCGGCCAAGGGGAAAGUUCAUUUGCGUAAUAAGAUCUGGGUGGGGCGGCCAGUCUUCCCCGAGCGCUACCUAAACGUCAUACGUGAUCGAACCAAUCUGUGAGCCCCACGUAAAUCAGACACCGCCUCUUCAAGCUGGACUAGAAAAAUCCAGCGCAUCCACCUGCUGGCCUAUUCCUCUGGGAAGUUCCCUCUCUCGCUCUCCAGAGAGAGCUGUUUCCUUUCUCUUUUUCUUGCUCCUAAACUCCUCGUGUGUGUCCGUGUCCUAAAUUUUCCUGGCACGAGAGGAUGAACCCCAGGUAUUUACCCCAGACAAGGUAGCCACUUGGGUAACAGUCUGUCAAGUUUACCCCAAGGCCAUGCAGUUUUGUUGUUGGGGGGAUUUGCAUAUUUCUUUUGUAAAAAUAUUGUUACAAUUAAACCCAGUUGAGUAAAGUGUGCCCAUG